UUUUAAAGCAACAAAAAAUGCUUUGACUUCUUUAUUCCACUCAAGCUUGUCUUUACAACUCAAAUGUUAUCGUAAUAUGUGAAGUCUUUCUUGAAAAUGCUCCGGGCACCUAGUUGUGGAAGGUAGAAUAGAAAUUACAAUAAAAAAAUCCUAACUCUAAUAGAACUCUAAUUAAAUUCUAAUUAGACCAUAACAAUGCUAAACAAGCUUUAAUCAAAUUCAAAGAAACUUCAAAGGAAUUACAAAAAAAAAUAAGAAAUCUUAAAGAAAUAUUUAAAUGAUCACAAAUAUAUCUCAAAUACAUCUUAAUUCAAUCUUAAUUUAAUCCAAGUUAAAAUUCUAUUGGGCUUUAUUCAAACUUUAGGGCAAAAACUAACUAAAUCUUAAACCCUAAAUAAAUCUUAAUAAAAUCUUAAAUCCUAAAUCAAAUCCUAAUCAAAUUCUAAAUCCUAAAUCAAACCUUAAUUAAUUCUUAGAUCCUAAAUCAAAUCCUAAUCAAAUCUUAAACUCUGAUCAAAUCCUAAAUCCUAAACCAAACCAUAAAUCCUAAAUCUUAAACUUAAUCUUAAAUCCUAAACCAAAUCUUAGCCAGAUUCUAAUCUUAAAUUAAAUCCUAAUUAAAUCUUAAAUCCUAAAUCAAAUCUUAAUCCUAAAUCAAAUCCUAAUCAAAUCCUAAAUUCUAAACCAAACACUAACCAAAUUUUAAACCCUAAACUAAAUCCUAGUAAUUCUUACAAUAGAUUUAAGCCUCAAUAACUAAUGAAUGAACCAUUGAUCUUAAUUCAAAAUUUGCACACUUCUUAAUAAUUAAGUUGACAACAAGCAAAAAAAAUUCAAAAGGAUUGGAAUUACCAAAUAGAUGAUAAUCUCAAAAACAUACUUGGAUAUUGGCUGGCCUCUUU
rnacentral:lncRNA from 1 species